rnacentral:rRNA from 1 species
GACGAACGCUGGCGGCGCGCCUAACACAUGCAAGUCGAACGGAGCUAUUUCGACAGAUCCCUUCGGGGUGACAUUGGCUUAGCUUAGUGGCGAACGGGUGAGUAACACGUGAGGAACCUGCCCUUCAGAGGGGGACAACAGUUGGAAACGACUGCUAAUACCGCAUAGGCGCACGGCAUCGCAUGAUGCAGUGUGAAAAACUCCGGUGGUGUGAGAUGGAUCCGCGUCUGAUUAGGUAGUUGGUGGGGUAACGGCCCACCAAGCCGACGAUCAGUAGCCGACCUGAGAGGGUGACCGGCCACAUUGGGACUGAGACACGGCCCAA